rnacentral:lncRNA from 1 species
GAAAGGAGAGCAGCCAGUGUGUGCUUCCUGGAGUGCCUGCAAGCCCCAAUAUCCACACAUGGACUAGGAGCGAGACUGGGAAUGGGAAAGCCAUGCUGGAGAUUGGGAGCAUCAUGUCUGCAAGAAUUGCUUCAACAGAACUAAAAGAAAUAUUCUAGACUGACAAUACAAUGAGACAGCAAAGGACAAAGUGGUAAAGAUGGUGUAGUAGAAAUGCUAAGUCAUGUCUUGAAACAGUGAUUGAGCACCUGCUGGGAAGACAGGGCCAACACAGGAUUGCUCAGGAGCAUGCAAUGCACCUGAGUGCAGGAUCCACCCCUUCCCAGACCUCAUUUAAGGGUUGGCAGUAGAGGCCAGAGGAUCUCUCUGGGGGUCCUUGCAUACCUGAGGCUUUCUGAAGGUAAGCGGCUUCUUUUCCUUAUUUCUGUGCCCACUGCUGUUGCAUUUGAGUGAAUCCUCACUUGCUGCAGCCUGGGAUCUUGCUGCUCUGCUGCCAUUGUUGUGCUUUCCAUCAUGUUACAGAUGGAAUCCAUCAGUUUGGGAAGUCAGGGCUGUCCCCUCAGUCUCAGCAGCAGCCAGAAGAUAACGGUCUCAGCACAAUCAACAUUGCUGUUUCUACAGUCUUUUAAUCUUCUCCUUUACCAAGAAAGAGAAAAAGAUAUUCUUUAUCUUUUCUUACCAAGCUAAUGAUCUUUCUUCCUCCAGAGAGGAAGUAAAUGAAUGGCUUCUCCACCCACUUUUCCAGUCUCCAGCCAUAUGACAGAAGUCCCUGCUGGCCUCAGAGCAGGAAGCAGUAGUGUGUUGAUCCCAGCCUUUUUAUUGCUGCUAGCAAUUAUCAUAAAAUUACUUUAUUGUGCAUGUGACAGUUGGUGACAGUCAAAGCAGCCUCUGCCCACUCUGAUUUUUCUCAACAAAAACUAUUAACCCAUGAGGGAUUGGAUGCUGGAGACUCCUUUUCUUUCACAUAAUAUGCAGCAUCUGCAACAGCUUGAGAGGAAUUUGGAGAAAAUCCUAGAGAAAAGUAUUAGGGCUCAGAAAGGGAAAUAAGUUUUCAAAGGAAGAUGGUAUUUUAAGCGGUUCAGUGUCAGCAUGACUUCUAAGGGCUAACAAGAAGCCCACUGGAAGGCUGUGAGGAACACUCCCAAAGGGAAGUAGCAAACUGGUGACAUAUAGAAGAUUUUAGGAUCACCUUUGGCUAUUUAGCAACCACUGCCCUUACGAGACAUCAAUCUAGAGCAAACCCUAGACCUUGAACCAAAAAUACAUUGCAAGCUUGGUUCUAAUUUAGGAAGAGGUGCAAACCUGUUUUCCUGCAUGAUUAACAGAGCAGAAGGCGGAGGGGGAAGCGAACAAGAAAACCAACCAUGUUCCUGCUUAACAGUCUUGGCAUGUCUGGCCUCAGGUACCCAAUCAGAUGCAGAGCUUUCUUCUCCUGCAGUACGAGCCACAUUAAACUUAGAAAUGAAGAGACUUCAACCCCCCAACAAUUGUAAUUCUCAGGUGCUCAAGAGCCUUUAAUUCAUUAUGAACCUAGAGGCAGAGACUUUAAAAAAAAAAAAGGCAAAAAAAUACAUCACAUCCUUAAUCUAGGAAAAAAGUCAGCAUUUUUAUAGCACAUCAUCAGACACUUACAAAUAUAUUUCACUGAAGGAAUGGGAGGGUAGGACUGUGCGUUUCCUAUUUCCUUUUCAAUAGUCUGAUGCACAGAGGCCAUCAACACAGCCAUUAGAGAUAAUCUGCACACAAGUCAUUCCUAAAUCAAAAAGAGAUUUAAAAAUGAACAAAAAGGGAGAACCCCUGCAAUGAGGAAGGGCAUUCCACAGAUCCAGAUUCACGUUUAAACGUAACUCAUCAUCUGAGUAUGGGGUGAGGAAACACAAUUUGUUUUGUACAAUAUAAAUAGUAUUUAAAAGAGUACUACAUGUGAACACAGUAAUGGUGCUAUUUCAGUCAGGACUUUACAUGCAGAGGAAAUUCCCUGUCACUCACAACCACUCAUCUCAUCCCACCCUUCCCCUACCCCUCCCAAAAAAACUCCUCUGCUGUUCAAAUUCUCUUGCAGCUGCUUUAAAUAUUUCUCCGAGGCCUGGCAACAUUCUUUUUCUUUUAUACAAGCAAGCUUUCUACUAAAUGAUGCUUUAACCGACAGAAGACAGCCACGCAGGAGGAACAACUGAGGCUUUUAAGGACCUUGCCAAUGUUUAAAACUUUUAUUAGUCUCAGUUUGUUUGAUUCUCAGAGACUUCUACUGAAAAACGUCAAAACCUCAGAAAUAAAAAAACCCUGUUUGAAACUUCUUACAAACAUGCACAUGUGCACACAAAGAAAGGAACCCACAGCAGAGGCAGUAAGAAAUAAAGGGAACUGCAAUUCUCUCAAGGGAGAACAAAAACCAAAAAGAAAAUUAAGAAAAAAAAUGACUGUCUCCACUCUUCACUAGGGCAGUUUAAAACUCAUCGAGUCUUGUACAAUGCUGAGCUACCAUCUACUAGCUCACAAAUCCUUCCCACUUACUCCCUAAAGAUCCAACUAUAGCACUGCUUAAAAACCAUUCCACAGAACAACGACCACCUUGCAAAGGGGCUUAAAAGAACAAAAGAAGAAAGAAUAUUGGAAUAUUGUCUCUUUCUGUCCAGUGACUUCAGGGAAUUAAGUGGAAAAGACUGCCAUGCAGCAUUGAGGAUAGCUUCUGCCAGACCAGGACAUCCAGGUGAGCAGCCAUGCACCCCGGCCCCCCCCACCCAGACAUCUGGAAGCCACAUCUCCUUCCCAGCUCUGCACUUAGGGCUGCAUUCGUCCUUCCUUCUGAUAGAGGUCCUCCAAAGAAAGCAGAGGACUUUCCAGUGACUCCAGCAGGGUUUUGGUUCAGGCUCUUAUAAAACACUGUUCCAUAACAGCUCUUCAACCAGAGGUGAUUUCCAAGUGUCCAAGUGGGAGCUGCCUACUCAAUACUUGAAGAUUUGUUUUUGCUUUUAAUGCUCAUUCAAUUCUCAGUGAACUGAGUCCAAUCAAAUGAAGGGCUUGCAUUCCUCUUCCCAGGAGUAUCUUAAAGGCUCAGUCUUUACUUAAGUAAAGGAUGUCACAACAAUCAAAGAUGUUUGGGGAAUUUCUUCUUUAAUAGGAUAAAAGAAAAACAUACAAACACCUCCCAGGCUUCUGUCAUGGAAUGAUUCUCACAACUGUAAGAACAACUCAGAAAAAUAAAAAUGGAGUCAAAGAAAUGAAAAAGGCUCCUAUGGGAGACAUGCCUACCAGAGAGCUAGAACAAUCCCUUUAUGCUCUAGUCUGCAGUGGGGAAGGGGAUGGCUUUUAAAGGAACUAACACAAGAAGCAGCAACAGAACACUUGCCAAAACUGAGUGGCAUAUUAUAACUGAAAGCCAUGCUCUUUGUUUUUUUUUGUUUUGUUUUGUUUUUUGUUUUGGGAUUUUUGUGUGUUUUUUUGUUUGUUUGUUUUGUUUUUAAACUAGAAAGCAACUUAGAUGGCAAAGGUGGGAAAGGAAGAUGACAAGAAUGACCACACCUGGCCAUUGCUUUACUACAUCCCUUCCUGGUGACAUGGCAGAAAUGCACACAUCUAUCACUUCUUUAAGAGAAUUAACAGUAAGAAACAUCCCAGCUAUGAAAUAUUUCUUUCCCCAUCUUCCCAAGGUUACAAAGGAGAUAGUGUUUCUUUACAAAAAGGAACCCAGAACUUUCCAGGACAUCUGUUCUUGCUUUCUCUCUCCCCAGUGUAAUAUUAGUCACAUUUCAUUGAGGGGUGAGAGGGGAGGAUUUUAUUUUCUGUUUUAAAGCCAUAAUCUAGAAAAAUGCUUUGUGGAAACCUUUGUUUUCCAAUUUUCGUUUGCUUUUUUUUUUUUUAAUAGUGCUUAUUUAUAGAAAACUUCACAAAGGUGACUUCUAUGUACAGAAAACACAAUUCCAAAGGCUGCUUCAGUAGUCAAUGUCAUAGCACCUUUAAAGACAAAAGAGUUUGACGUAUUUUAAAAAGUCACUUAGUCAAAUCUUAACCCUUUCCAGGCCUUAUAAAAAGGAGCUAAUCACAAAGCUCCAUCAGUACAAACGCUGGAAAGUCUCCAGGUGAAUUUCUGUCUGCAGGUUUCUCAGGCUCCCAGUUCUAUUGGUCUGGCAAAGUAGAGGUAGCGUGCAGCCAGACGUGAUUUUCUAGCAGUCCAAACCAGAAGAUGAUGAAAGGAGUUCACAGCAGGGUAUUGCACAACGCUGGUCUUACAUUCCAGAGUUUCCUGGUUAUUUUUCUACAGGCUUGAAAAGGGUUAACUUCAUAUUUAAUUAAUCCUGGUUAAAACAUGUUGCUCUGAGUUCCAGGUUGGUACUGUGUCUGCAACAGGCUCUCCAUAAAGGCCAAGUAAUCUGGGUUUUGUCCAUACUCUUCAGGAUUCCUUGCAUUCCCCAGCCGGGGACGCUUGGCUGCUCUCAUUUCAUCUCCCGAAAAUACAUCUUCCUGAGGGGCCCCAGUGCUGAGGGACUGCAGGAGGCAUGAAAGUACAGUAUUAGAGGCACAGGAGGAAAACAGAGGUAGAUGUGCACAAACUGUUGAGUGCGCCCGCUUAACCAGGCAGCAGACAUAACAUGGCAGCAAACAGUCUGGUACAGUGAACUUCUGAAGAAAAACUGAAUUCCGAAGCAUGCAAAUCACACAGCUGAAGGAAAAACCUCUGGGCUUCUGAAGCCAAACUGGAAGGAGAAGCCCUUGAGUUGCCUUCCUUCUGUAUCAGAACAUCUUUUACUUUGAUUCCUGCCUUGACAGUUCACUGUUUGCUCUUACCCUCUGUUGCUUCACAUUCUCCACUCCUAGAAUGCACACAGGAAAAGGGGCUUCCCUGAUGUCUGUUAAAGAAAGGAAAGACCCAAAGCACUUGGGGGCUAAGAUGACUUUACGGAUGAUUGCUGCUGUUCAUCCUCCUCUUACACUCUCAGAAGAGAUGCAUUUCUCGUAUUGCUUUGUUCCUCUGAACAUAUAAAGGAAAAAACAUUUAAAUGCUUCUCAAGCAUUUACACACCAAGGGUUUCAACAACCCUACAUAUUUUGCAAGUGAUCUGGAAUUUUACAGCGACAGAAGAUGAAGGCUGCAUUCACCUAAAGUCUAAACAAUAUGUUAAGAAAACGUGAACAAGUACGUCAAGCCACAGCCAUUUCAUUGUGUCUUUUACUUCAAUACCCACCAAGCGAGACUUCACUCUCUUCGGAAGCUCCUCCUCCAAGGUAUAAAUAUCACCACGCUUUACCAUUAGUUGCGAGCCAUCUUCAAACUCAACCUGAUAAAUCUGACUGAUCUGAGCUGCAAUAAACUUGGCCUUAUAGAUGAUUCCAUCUGUCCACUGCAGUUGAACCAUCUCACCCUCUGGAGGGGGUCCCAGCUGGAUGCAGUCUCUGCUAAUAAUGCUUUCUGGGUAAACGUUGUCACUGUAUGAACCAUCAUCAAAGUUUACUUCAUAGAAAGUCUGUGUUGUCAUGCCAAUGACUUUACAUCUGUAGUAGAGUCCAUUCCGGUUCUUUGUG